rnacentral:rRNA from 1 species
GACGAACGCUGGCGGCGUGCCUAAUACAUGCCAGUAGAACGCACAGUUUAUAUCGUAGCUUGCUACACCAUAGACUGUGAGUUGCGAAUGGGUGAGUAACGCGUAGGUAACCUGCCUGGUAGCGGGGGAUAACUAUUGGAAACGAUAGCUAAUACCGCAUAAUAUUCAUUAUUGCAUGAUAAUUAAUUGAAAGGUGCAAUUGCACCACUACCAGAUGGACCUUCGUUGUAUUAGCUAGUUGGUGAGGUAACGGCUCACCUAGGCGACGAUACAUAGCCGACCUGAGAGGGUGAUCGGCCACACUGGGACUGAGACACGGCCCAGACUCCUACGGGAGGCAGCAGUAGGGAAUCUUCGGCAAUGGACGAAAGUCUGACCGAGCAACGCCGCGUGAGUGAAGAAGGUUUUCGGAUCGUAAAGCUCUGUUGUAAGAGAAGAACGGGGGUGAGAGUGGAAAGUUCACACUGUGACGGUAUCUUACCAGAAAGGGACGGCUAACUACGUG